rnacentral:rRNA from 2 species
GGAGGGUCCAAGCGUUUAUUGGAAUUUUUGGGGGUAAAGGGCACCCGGGCGUUUUGUCAAUUCGAAGGGGAAAUCCCCGGGUUAAACGUGGGAAUUGCUUUGGAAAUUGGCAAGUUAAGUGCAGAAGGAGGCGGGGGGAAUUCCAGGGUGACCGGUGAAAUGGGUGGAAUUUGGGAGGAAUCCCGGGGGCGAAGGGGGCCUCUUGGACAUAGAUUGACGUUCAGGUGAAAAGCUUGGUAACCAAACGGGUUUGAAUCCCUUGUAAGUCCACCCGGUAAAGAUGGUUGACUGGAUGGAGGCCUCCAGCCGUCAGUUCCGGAGCUAACGCGUAAGCACUCCGCCUGGGG